rnacentral:rRNA from 1 species
GGGUUGUUGCUGGCCCCAACCGGGCACGUGCACGCCCUGUUUACGCAUCCACUCACACCUGUGCACCCUCUGUAGUUCUGUGGACCGGGAGACGUCGUCUUCCUUCCGUGGCUCUACGUCUUUACACACACGCCGUAGCGAAGUCUCAUGGAAUGUUUUUCGCGUUUAACGCAAUACAAUACAACUUUCAGCAACGGAUCUCUUGGCUCUCGCAUCGAUGAAGAACGCAGCGAAAUGCGAUAAGUAAUGUGAAUUGCAGAAUUCAGUGAAUCAUCGAAUCUUUGAACGCACCUUGCGCCCCUUGGUUAUUCCUCGGGGCAUGCCUGUUUGAGUAUCAUGAACACCUCAACUCUCGUGGUCUUCCAUGAUGAGCUUGGACUUUGGGGGUUUGCUGGCCCUGUGGCCGGCUCCUCUCAAACGAAUCAGCUUGCCAGUGUUUGGCGGCGUCACGGGUGUGAUAACCAUCUACGCUUGCGAUCGCCUGCCAGAUAACCCUCAGCGAUGAAGGUUCAUUGGGGCUCACAAAAGUCUCUCCACGGCGAGGACGAAUUUUGAAUGUUCGAUCUCAAAUCAGGUAGGACUACCCGCUGAACUUAAGCAUAUCAAUAAGCGGAGGAAAAGAAACUAACAAGGAUUCCCCUAGUAACUGCGAGUGAAGCGGGAAGAGCUCAAAUUUAAAAUCUGGCGUGCCUCCGGUCGUCCGAAUUGUAGUCUGGAGAAGCGUUUUCCGUGCUGGGACCGUGUACAAGUCUCC